rnacentral:piRNA from 1 species
UCUGUGGGUUUGUGAUGAGGCUGGAG